AACGAACGCUGGCGGCAUGCCUAACACAUGCAAGUCGAACGAGACCUUCGGGUCUAGUGGCGCACGGGUGCGUAACGCGUGGGAACCUGCCCUUAGGUUAGGAAUAACUCCCCGAAAGGGGUGCUAAUACCGGAUAAUGUCUUCGGACCAAAGAUUUAUCGCCUUUGGAUGGGCCCGCGUUGGAUUAGCUAGUUGGUAGGGUAAAAGCCUACCAAGGCGACGAUCCAUAGCUGGUCUGAGAGGAUGAUCAGCCACACUGGGACUGAGACACGGCCCAGACUCCGACGGGAGGCAGCAGUGGGGAAUAUUGGACAAUGGGCGAAAGCCUGAUCCAGCAAUGCCGCGUGAGUGAUGAAGGCCUUAGGGUUGUAAAGCUCUUUUACCCGGGAUGAUAAUGACAGUACCGGGAGAAUAAGCUCCGGCUAACUCCGUG
rnacentral:rRNA from 1 species